rnacentral:rRNA from 1 species
GACGAACGCUGGCGGCGUGCUUAACACAUGCAAGUCGAACGGAAAGGCCCUGCUUUUGUGGGGUGCUCGAGUGGCGAACGGGUGAGUAACACGUGAGUAACCUGCCCUUGACUUUGGGGUAACUUCAGGAAACUGGGGCUAAUACCGGAUAGGAGCUCCUGCUGCAUGGUGGGGGUUGGAAAGUUUCGGCGGUUGGGGAUGGACUCGCGGCUUAUCAGCUUGUUGGUGGGGUAGUGGCUUACCAAGGGUUUGACGGGUAGCCGGCCUGAGAGGGUGACCGGCCACAAUGGGACUGAGGUACGGCCCAGACUCGUACGGGAGGCAGCAGUGGGGAAUAUUGCACAGUGGGCGGAAGCCUGAUGCAGCAACGUCGCGUGCGGGAUGACGGCCUUCGGGUUGUAAACCGCUUUCGCCUGUGACGAAGCGUGAGUGACGGUAAUGGGUAAAGAAGCACCGGCUAACUACGUG